UACGAAGGGGGCUAGCGUUGCUCGGAAUUACUGGGCGUAAAGGGCGCGUAGGCGGACAGUUUAGUCAGAGGUGAAAGCCCAGGGCUCAACCUUGGAACUGCCUUUGAUACUGACUGUCUUGAGUUCGGGAGAGGUGAGUGGAAUGCCGAGUGUAGAGGUGAAAUUCGUAGAUAUUCGGCGGAACACCAGUGGCGAAGGCGGCCACCUGGACAGACACUGACGCUGAGACGCGAAAGCGUGGGGAGCAAACAGG
rnacentral:rRNA from 1 species